AUACAGAGGGUGCAAGCGUUAAUCGGAAUUACUGGGCGUAAAGCGCUCGUAGGCGGCCUGUUAAGUCGGAUGUGAAAGCCCCGGGCUCAACCUGGGAACUGCAUUCGAAACUGGCAGGCUAGAGUAUAGUAGAGGCAAGUGGAAUUCCGGGUGUAGCGGUGAAAUGCGUAGAUAUCCGGAGGAACAUCAGUGGCGAAGGCGACUUGCUGGACUAAUACUGACGCUGAGGAGCGAAAGCGUGGGGAGCAAACGGGAUUAGAAACCCCAGUAGUCC
rnacentral:rRNA from 1 species